GGUCGCGUGGUGUAGCCUGGUUAAACAUGCUUCCCUGUCACGGAAGAGAUCACGGGUUCAAAUCCCGUCGCGACCGCUA
rnacentral:tRNA from 1 species